rnacentral:rRNA from 1 species
CAUAGGGUGCAAGCGUUAGUCGGAAUUACUGGGCGUAAAGCGUGCGCAGGCGGUUUUAUAAGUCUGAUGUGAAAUCCCCGGGCUCAACCUGGGAACUGCAUUGGAGACUGUAAGGCUAGAGUGUGUCAGAGGGGGGUAGAAUUCCACGUGUAGCAGUGAAAUGCGUAGAUAUGUGGAGGAAUACCGAUGGCGAAGGCAGCCCCCUGGGAUAACACUGACGCUCAUGCACGAAAGCGUGGGGAGCAAACAGGAUUAGAUACCCUGGUAGUCCACGCCCUAAACGAUGUCUACUAGUUGUCGGGUCUUAAUUGACUUGGUAACGCAGCUAACGCGUGAAGUAGACCGCCUGGGGAGUACGGUCGCAAGAUUA